rnacentral:tRNA from 1 species
UAUUUCUAAUAAAAUAACUUUAUUCCUUUAGAAUGAAAAUCUAAUGUGCAUCUUUACACCAUAGAAAC